rnacentral:lncRNA from 1 species
UUCGAUGAAUAAGACCAUACAAUUGGGGGGGAAUAACAAACAACUGUCAUAGGUGGUGAAAGACAAGCUCUAUCAACACAACAAAUGUUUUAGCCUCAGCAUCAAAUGAACAUUAUGUCAUGUUGACAAUUGGCUCUAUCACAACUAAAGCACAAAAUAUUUGGAAUGAUUGCAAGCACUUAAUACGAUAAAGAAAUCAACCUCAGUGUUCCAAAGCGGUAGGUAAAAAUUGGAAAAAGAACCAAGCAUCCACCAAGCUAGAGAAGACAACGACAAAACCAUCCCUAAAAUAAUUUGCAAAAGUAAUACUAUAUGCAUAAGCAAGACAAAAAAAAACGUGUUACAAGAGUAGAAAAAAACUUUUAAAAGUGAAGACUUAUUAAAUAAUCAAAGACAAACAAAAAAAUGUAAAAUUUAAGACAAUACUGGUCCAAACCAUUUUGUGAAAUCAUUUAUUAUUCUAAAAGACUUUCAAAACUGAAACAGAUUAAAAAGCAAACGAAAAGUCACCCACUUUCUAAGAGAAACUGCUGAUGGUCGGUGGAGUUUCAGCGACAAUAAAUACCAUCAUUUCCCCAUUAUAACUUGUGAAGACAACAAAGAUACCUACAAAAUAAAUCUGCAAACUAAAAGAGAAAAUGCAUAUGGAGUGAAUGAGGAGAAAAAAAAGAAAAAGAAGGUUGAAGAGAGGGAGAAAAAGGUGGGUGAUAGGCCCGAAAACUAACAUCGCCGCUGAGUAAAACAAAACAAAAGAAAACAAGCAAAAAUUUUUUGAAAGAAAAAAGAACAAUAUUUUUAAGGAUUUUCUCCACUUAACU